GGUGGCUCAAUGCUAGAGCACUUGCCUUGCAUGCAUGAAGCCCUGGGUUCGAUUCCUCAGCACCA
rnacentral:tRNA from 1 species